AUGGUCGAAGGCUCGGAUACGGACAUCGCUAGCCUUAAAUUCCUCCUCCUCUGCUUCCAACAAAUGUCUGGUCCUAAGAUCAACUUCGACAAGAGCGAUGUGAUGGUGAUGGGCUAUUCUCCGGCUGAGGCCUUGAUUGCCAACCGCCUCAAUUGCCGCCUAGGUUCCUUCCCAACGACCUACCUAGGAACGCCCAUUAGUGACUCUCGGCUCACUGUGGCGGACCUUCGUCCUGCGUUGACCAAGUUGCAAUCGCGCAUUGAGCCUUGGCAGGGUCGGUGGCUCUCGAAGGUGGCCCGGACGAUUCUUAUCAACUCCUCGCUCUCUAGUCUCCUCUUAUUCCUUAUGAGCUUCUACAGCCUCCACGAGACCCUCCAUCACGAGAUCGCUAAAAUCCAAUAUCGCUUCUAUUGGGUUGGGGACAAUAACAAGCAGAAGUAUCAUAUGGUUAGUUGGCCCGACAUCUGCAAGCCCCGGGGGCAGGGAGGCCUUGGCAUCAUGUGCUCGAAACGCAUGAACAUUGCCCUCCUCUCCCGCUGGCUCUAGCGCAUCUCGCAAGGGCAUGGCGGUCUGUGGUUA
rnacentral:rRNA from 1 species